rnacentral:rRNA from 1 species
UACGGAGGAGGCAAGCGUUAUCCGGAAUUAUUGGGCGUAAAGCGUCCGCAGGUGGCACUUCAAGUCUGCCGUCAAAGACCGGGGCUUAACCCCAGAAAGGCGGUGGAAACUGAAUAGCUAGAGUGCAGUAGGGGUAGAGGGAAUUCCCGGUGUAGCGGUGAAAUGCGUAGAGAUCGGGAAGAACACCCGUGGCGAAAGCGCUCUACUGGACUGCAACUGACACUCAGGGACGAAAGCUAGGGGAGCGAAUGGG